rnacentral:rRNA from 1 species
UACGUAGGGUGCGAGCGUUGUCCGGAAUUAUUGGGCGUAAAGAGCUUGUAGGCGGUUUGUCGCGUCUGCCGUGAAAAUCCGGGGCUCAACCCCGGACUUGCGGUGGGUACGGGCAGACUAGAGUGUGGUAGGGGAGACUGGAAUUCCUGGUGUAGCGGUGAAAUGCGCAGAUAUCAGGAGGAACACCGAUGGCGAAGGCAGGUCGCUGGGCCAUUACUGACGCUGAGAAGCGAAAGCGUGGGGAGCGAACAGG